GAGACGGAUCGUUUACUUUGAAAAAAUCAGAGUGUUUCAAGCAGGCAUCAUCGCUCUUGCAUGGAUUAGCAUGGGAUAAUGAAAUAGGACCUUGGUGCUAUUUUGUUGGUUUCGAGCACCGAAGUAAUGAUUAACAGGGACAGUCAGGGGCACUCGUAUUCCGCCGAGAGAGGUGAAAUUCUCAGACCAGCGGAAGACGAACCACUGCGAAAGCAUUUGCCAGGGAUGUUUUCACUGAUCAAGAACGAAAGUUAGGGGAUCGAAGACGAUCAGAUACCGUCGUAGUCUUAACCAUAAACCAUGCCGACUAGGGAUUGGAGGAUGUCCACUUUUGACUUCUUCAGCACCUUACGGGAAACUAAAGUCUUUGGGUUCCGGGGGGAGUAUGGUCGCAAGGCUGAAACUUAAAGGAAUUGACGGAAGGGCACCACCAGGAGUGGAGCCUGCGGCUUAAUUUGACUCAACACGGGGAAACUUACCAGGUCCAGACAUUGUGAGGAUUGACAGAUUGAGAGCUCUUUCUUGAUUCGAU
rnacentral:rRNA from 1 species